rnacentral:rRNA from 1 species
GAUGAGCCUGCGUACUAUUAGCUAGUUGGUAGGGUAAAGGCCUACCAAGGCGAAGAUGGUUAACCGGCCUGAGAGGGUGUACGGUCACAAUGGAACUGGAACACGGUCCAUACUCCUACGGGAGGCAGCAGUGGGGAAUCUUGCACAAUGGGCGCAAGCCUGAUGCAGCGACGCCGCGUGGAGGAUGAAGGCUUUCGAGUUGUAAACUCCUGUUAAGUGGGAAGAAAUACUCUGGGUUAAUACCCUGGGGGGAUGACGGUACCACUAGAGAAAGCACCGGCAAACUUCGUGCCAGCAGCCGCGGUAAUACGAAGGGUGCGAGCGUUAUUCGGAGUUACUGGGCGUAAAGAGCAUGUAGGCGGUUUGCUAAGUUAGUUGUUAAAUUCCACGGCUUAACUGUGGAUUCGCGGCUAAUACUGGUGAGCUAGAGCAUAGAAGAGAGAAGUGGAAUUCCCGGAGUAGCGGUAAAAUGCGUAGAUCUCGGGAGGAACACCGGUUGCGAAGGCGGCUUCUUGGUCUAUUGCUGACGCUAAAGUGCGAAAGCGUGGGGAGCAAACAGGAUUAGAUACCCUGGUAGUCCACGCUGUAAA